rnacentral:rRNA from 1 species
UACGAAGGGUGCAAGCGUUACUCGGAAUUACUGGGCGUAAAGGGUGCGUAGGUGGUUUUUUAAGUCCGUUGUGAAAUCCCUGGGCUCAGCCUGGGAAUGGCAGUGGAUACUGGAAAGCUAGAGUGCGGUAGAGGGUAGUGGAAUUCCCGGUGCAGCAGUGAAAUGCGUAGAGAUCGGGAGGAACACCAGUGGCGAAGGCGGCUACCUGGACCAGCACUGACACUGAGGCACGAAAGCGUGGGGAGCAAACAGG